UAUUAAAAAAUCUAUUUAUUUGUAUUGUAAAAACUAUUGUCCUUAAUGGAAUAACCAGACAGUGACAUGCCAUGUUUACGUCAUGCUAACAUAAAGAGAUCAAUUUUUAACUAUAGAAAUGGAUGAAAUUUUUAAUA
rfam:Gossypium raimondii Chr11_contig_887, whole genome shotgun sequence.